rnacentral:lncRNA from 1 species
GCUUUUCUUGAUGAAAGUAUGUAAGGAGUUACAUAUCAGAUAGGCAAUCAGAUACAGCUUUUAUUUGCAAAAACAAAACUAAAAUGUAUUACUGAAAUCUUUUCUGAAUCUAGUGGGGUGUAAAACCAUUCAAAAGGUAACAUUUAUUUGAAAACACUGUGUUUUUUGUGUUGUCAGAGAAACAUUUUUCCCAUAGGUAUGCCAUGGUCAGAGAAAUGCAAUAUAUAGACGUUCAAGAAUGUCAUGAUGAGACUCAGUACAUGGUAUCUUGAGUACUUUAUAAAAUUACCCUCCUGGGUAGAAUAAUCAGCUGACUUAAGCAGUAAGCAAAUUGGUUUACAGCUCCUUGCUCAGUUAUAACCAUUUUUCAAAUUCUUUUAAAUUGACAUAAUACACAGAUAAAUGCACAAAUUUUAAGUGUACAAGCGCAAUGAAUUAUCAGAAAGUAAGCACUCCUGGAUAACUAGAACAAAAUUUUAAAAAUAUUAACACAUCAGAAACCUCUGCUCAUGCCAUCAAUUACUUGUUUCUGAACUUGAUAUAAAUAGAAUUACACAUUAUAUAUUUAUUUUUUGUAUGGCUUCCUUUGUUCAACAUCAUAUUUGUGAGACUCUUUCCUGUAGCUUUUAUGUAGCUUUACUGUGUUCACUUGUAUAAAGUAUUCCACUAUAAAAAUACAUCAUUAUGAAACUUCUUUCUCUCAUUAGUGCCUGUUGCCCUAAUGUGACUUUCUCUAACAUUUAUGUAACUAAUACUGGCUUUCAGUUGGCUAAAAACAAUCUCUGAACAGGUUAGAAUUUAAUACUUGUUUUCUGCAGGAUCAAGGACUGGAGUAAUCCCAUAACUUUAGGCAUAGAGCAAGGAUAUAGGUGCUUUAAUCUAACCAUGUGCAACUUACUCCAACAAAACCACUGAAUCUUUUCCUGUUACCCUGUGUAUAUCCUUAGAACAAAGAUAGGAAUGAAGAAAAUACAGAGAUCUCCAUGGGACAUUAGAAUAACUAAUUUUUUUCUAUUUUAUACUUUUUUAUACUAGCAGAGGUAGGAAUUCUAUAUCAGAACCCUAUGAUUAUG